UUUGCCGCUAACCAGCUAGCGCCAGUAGCUUGCUAGUUAGCCAGCUACUAUAGGUUACCUAUGGCUUUCGCUAACCCGUUAGCAUGUUGCGCGCUAUUCUUUGUUUCUGUUUUCGAUUCAUAUAUUUAUUGUGUUUCUGCUUAUAUAAAUUAAACUUACUUACCCUCUCCCCCUCAGCUCCUCUGGCUAUCCCCCAUUCCACUAACAGGUUUAUCAGUCAGGGAUCAGAUGAUCCAAGGAAUUAAUAAAUUAAUUCCAUCAAAAUGGGACAACAUCUCUGAUGAUGAGUAGGGCCGAGCCAGGGAUGCCUGUCCGCGGGAACCAGAGCCGGUGCUAUCUAUAACCUCCAGUACCCAGAAUGGUACAGAAUACCCUGGGCCCGGUCAGUGGACUCAACCUUUAACCACACAACACCUUCCAUGGGAGGAACUGAACCUACUCCCUCCUCACCCUUCUGGCUGCUUCUUCCCUUACAUGGAUUUCCACACAUCCUGUAACACUCUGGCAGGAUACUACGUUGAUCUGUGGACAUUUAUGGCACUUGCAUUCUGACAAUCCACUUCAUGACGCAGUCUGUGUAGCCCUCUCCUGGCUGGAUUUGGAACAUAAUGCCACAGUGCACGGAGGGUGAUCAGGCCCAGACUUGCUCUGCUCAUAGAUUCCCAGUGAGCAGAGUAUGGCCUACAUAGGGCUGGCUGGCUGCUUAUCUGCCUAUAUAGGGCACCUAUUUCCAGUAGCCUCCAGUAGCUAGGUGGGACUUGUCCUACGUGCUGGCUGCCAGUGCAUGGAGAUAGUAGUACGUGACCAGGCCAAGGCAUGUGCUCAUGUUCCCAGUGAGGGUUGCCUAUAUGGGGGACCAGAACCCAGGCAAUAUCCAGCCUCCUGUAACUCCCCUGGGUUAGGGUUUUUAUAUAAUUCAUUGUCUUUCUUAUAGAUGUGUGUGUGGAAUUCCCCCUCCCUCAUCCGAUGUUUAGAGGGUCCUCUUGAAAUUAUUUAAGAAUCUGACCCUUUUUAUAACUGCUAUUGCCUGUAUAUUUGUGUGUUACUUUUAGCCACCAGACCUACAAGAUGAAAAAGCCAAUAUGGCUAUUUCUCUCCCCCUCUACAACCGAUUUGAAAGCUAAGGGCAGGGUUCUAAUCUGGGUGAGUUUUCAGUGACUUCUACUUUAAAAAGGGAAGAGAGACAGACUCUUCUUAGGCCCUAAGCUCCUCUGAACCCACAACUUAUCAAGAGUUACUGUAAGUUACUUCAGGUCAUACACCAUUCUGAGAUUUUAGCCCACUCUCAAUCCUGAUUUAGGCCCUCCUGGUAUGACAGAUAGACAGAUAGCAAAGUUGGCAGCCUUUAUUACACCUUCCCUGCCCUCUGUGCAGACCUCUGAGAAAGUUAAACAGAAUACUACACAAUGGAUGGAGGUUAACAUGUUUAUUUUGAGGGAACACUAUGAUACAGUGCUAGCAGAGGGUUUAGAGAAGUUAGAGGACUUUAAUAAAGCAAUAUAAAUCAAAUUUAUUUAUAAAGCCCUUUUUUACAAAAGAAGUGGUCACAAAGUGCUUUUACAGAGACACCCG